AGUGAACGCUGGCGGUAGGCCUAACACAUGCAAGUCGAACGGCAGCACAGUAAGAUCUUGCUCUUACGGGUGGCGGAUCGCGGGAGGGUGAGGUAUACAUCGUAAUCUACUUUUUCGUGUGGGUUAACGUAGGUGAACUUACGCUAAUAUCGCAUACCACCCACGGGGGAAAGGAUUGGAACUUCUGACCUUUCGCGAUUGAAUGAGCCGAUGUGGGGUUAGCUAGUUGGCGGGGUAAAGGCCCACCAAGGCGCCGAUCCGUAGCUCGUCUGGGAGGAUGGUCAGCCACACUGGAACUGAGACACGGUCCAGGCUCCUACGGGAGGCAGCAGUGGGGAAUAUUAGACAGUAGGCGCGAGCCUGAUACAGCCAUACCGAGUCGGAGAAGAAGGCCUUCGGGUUGUAAAGACCUUUUGUUGGGAAAGAAAAGCAGCAGCUUAAUACCCCGCUGUUCUGACGGUACCCAAAGAAUAAGCACCGGCUAACUUCGUG
rnacentral:rRNA from 1 species